GACGAACGCUGGCGGCGUGCCUAAUACAUGCAAGUUGAGCGCUGAAGGUUGGUACUUGUACCAACUGGAUGAGCAGCGAACGGGUGAGUAACGCGUGGGGAAUCUGCCUUUGAGCGGGGGACAACAUUUGGAAACGAAUGCUAAUACCGCAUAAAAACUUUAAACACAAGUUUUAAGUUUGAAAGAUGCAAUUGCAUCACUCAAAGAUGAUCCCGCGUUGUAUUAGCUAGUUGGUGAGGUAAAGGCUCACCAAGGCGAUGAUACAUAGCCGACCUGAGAGGGGGAUCUGCCACAUUGGGACUGAGACACGGCCCAAACUCCUACGGGAGGCAGCAGUAGGGAAUCUUCGGCAAUGGACGGAAGUCUGACCGAGCAACGCCGCGGGAGUGAAGAAGGGUUUCGGAUCGUAAAACUCUGUUGGUAGAGAAGAACGUUGGUGAGAGUGGAAAGCUCAUCAAGUGACGGUAACUACCCAGAAAGGGACGGCUAACUACGUG
rnacentral:rRNA from 1 species